rnacentral:tRNA from 1 species
GCCUUCUUAGCUCAGUGGUAGAGCGUUGGUCUCGUAAUCCAAAGGCCGAGAGUUCAAUCCUCUCAGGAGGCA